AUUGAACGCUGGAGGCAGGCCGAACACAUGCAAGACGAGAGAGCGGAGGACGGGAGAGUACUGUCAGGGAAACUGCCUGCUGGAGGGGGAGAACUACUGGAAACGGUAGCUAAUACCGCAUACCAUCAGAAAUGCCCAGAUGGGAUUGGCAAGUAGGUAGGGUAACGGCUACCCUAGGCGACGAUCCCUAGCUGGUCUGAGCGGAUGACCAGCCACACUGGAACUGAGACAUGGUUCCGAUUCCGCAGGGAGGAAGCAGGGGGGAAUAUUGGACAAUGGGUGCAAGCCGUAUGCAGCCAUGCCGCGUGUGUGAAGAAGGCCUUCGGGUUGUAAAGCACUUUCAGCGGGGAGGCGUUACCCGCAGAAGAAGCACCGGCUAACUCCGUGCCAGCAGCCGCGGUAAUAC
rnacentral:rRNA from 1 species